GACGAACGCUGGCGGCGUGCUUAACACAUGCAAGUCGAACGGAAAGGCCCUGCUUUUGUGGGGUGCUCGAGUGGCGAACGGGUGAGUAACACAUGAGUAACCUGCCCUUGACUUUGGGAUAACUUCAGGAAACUGGGGCUAAUACCGGAUAGGAGCUCCUGCUGCAUGGUGGGGGUUGGAAAGUUUCGGCGGUUGGGGAUGGACUCGCGGCUUAUCAGCUUGUUGGUGGGGUAGUGGCUUACCAAGGCUUUGACGGGUAGCCGGCCUGAGAGGGUGACCGGCCACAUUGGGACUGAGAUACGGCCCAGACUCCUACGGGAGGCAGCAGUGGGGAAUAUUGCACAAUGGGCGGAAGCCUGAUGCAGCAACGCCGCGUGCGGGAUGACGGCCUUCGGGUUGUAAACCGCUAUCGCCUGUGACGAAGCGUGAGUGACGGUAAUGGGUAAAGAAGCACCGGCUAACUACGUG
rnacentral:rRNA from 1 species